UACGUAGGGGGCAAGCGUUAUCCGGAUUUACUGGGUGUAAAGGGAGCGUAGACGGACAUGCAAGUCCGGGGUGAAAGGCAGGGGCUUAACCCCUGCACUGCCCUGGAAACUGUAUAUCUAGAGUACCGGAGGGGCAGGCGGAAUUCCUGGUGUAGCGGUGAAAUGCGUAGAUAUCAGGAAGAACACCGGUGGCGAAGGCGGCCUGCUGGACGGUAACUGACGUUGAUGCUCGAAAGCGUGGGGAG
rnacentral:rRNA from 1 species